AGUAGAGUGCGCGGUACGGGCUGUUUUAACGCGUGGGAAUCUACCCAGUAGUGGGGGACAACUACCGGAAACGGUAGCUAAUACCGCAUACGCCCUAUGGGGGAAAGGCUUCGGCCGCUAUUGGAUGAGCCCGCGUCAGAUUAGCUAGUUGGUAGGGUAAAGGCCUACCAAGGCAACGAUCUGUAGCUGGUCUGAGAGGACGAACAGCCACACUGGGACUGAGACACGGCCCAGACUCCUACGGGAGGCAGCAGUGGGGAAUAUUGGACAAUGGGCGAAAGCCUGAUCCAGCAAUGCCGCGUGUGUGAAGAAGGCCUGCGGGUUGUAAAGCACUUUCAGUUGGGAAGAUGAUGACGUUACCAACAGAAGAAGCACCGGCUAAAUCCGUGCCAGCAGCCGCGGUAAUACGGAUGGUGCGAGCGUUAAUCGGAAUUACUGGGCGUAAAGCGCGCGUAGGCGGCUAAGUCAGUCAGAAGUGAAAGCCCCGGGCUCAACCUGGGAAUUGCUUUUGAUACUGCUUAGCUAGAGUUUGGUAGAGGAUAGUGGAAUUUCAGGUGUAGCGGUGAAAUGCGUAGAUAUCUGAAGGAACAUCAGUGGCGAAGGCGACUGUCUGGACCAAGACUGACGCUGAGGUGCGAAAGCGUGGGUAGCAAACAGGAUUAGAUACCCUGGUAG
rnacentral:rRNA from 1 species